AACGCACAUUGCGCCCUUGGGUAUUCCUGGGGGCAUGCCUGUUUGAGAACCUUGACGUACCUCACCCCCACACCUCUGGUCUGUCAAAAGACCUCUGGCGUGUUGGUGGAUCUGGGCUUUUUUUACUUUUCGUCAAUGAGAAGUGGCCUUAAAUAAAGAAUCGUUUUGCCCCAGCGAGUGCACAAAACGUGACAUCCAAGACUGAGAUUACUACACUUCAUUGUGUUUCUUUUCAAGUCGCAGGAGUUCGCGUGGAGAGCCUCGUGUUUUGAACGGGCCGUCAUAACCUAAUAAGCCAGUUUCUUCGCUACUCCUCCUUUGGAAGAACGUCGAACUGAACACCUGGUCUCAAAUCAGACAAGACUACCCGCUGAACUUAA
rnacentral:misc_RNA from 1 species